UACGAAGGGGGCUAGCGUUGCUCGGAAUCAUUGGGCGUAAAGGGCGCGUAGGCGGACAGUUAAGUCAGAGGUGAAAGCCCAGGGCUCAACCUUGGAAUUGCCUUUGAUACUGACUGUCUUGAGUACGGGAGAGGUGUGUGGAACUCCGAGUGUAGAGGUGAAAUUCGUAGAUAUUCGGAAGAACACCAGUGGCGAAGGCGACACACUGGCCCGUAACUGACGCUGAGGCGCGAAAGCGUGGGUAGCAAACAG
rnacentral:rRNA from 1 species